CUUUCUGUGGUUAGUGCUCUGAUGUCCCGAUAUAGAUAAUCUUGAAGUAAUUCUUGAUUCUUAGAUCAACUAGAGAACUCUCAGGAAACUUCCUCUCUUCCCACUAAAAAUAAUUAUAUAGUUAUCCUUGGGCGAUCUUGGAUCUUAAUUAGUACACUCACGUUCCCUGUGGAAAAUCGAUACUCUGGAAUACUCCCGGGUGAAGGCUACAUCGGUAUCCGUGCGCUUGCGGAUUUUUCUGUUUGCGUUUAAAAUACCCAACAAGCUUUCUGGCGCUGUUGCCGGGGAACGGUAGCUGUGCUAGUUUCGAACCAAGUCGUCCAUGUAUCCUUUUUCUUUUCUUUUUUUUACCACACUCACCUUAUCAUUUUCACCAUACCACAUGGAUUUCACUCUAAGCAUUAAUGAGCAUGGAAUUUAUUUCAUAGCCACUUCAUUUACUCCAUGCUCAUAUGCAACAUCUUCACACUCCAUUGGUCUCUCCAACAUCACCACAUUCGAGAUCUCCAACCCCCUCUUCCUUUCUAUUUAUAAAAACUUUAAAAGGGCGGUUGUCGAUGCAUAUGUCUAUAUGAAAUAUUGCAGAUCUCGUUGAGUUGAUCUUGAUUUAGGUCAGCGUUGGAGGGGAAAUCACUUCGCUGACAUAAAUUAAUGGUUUCCCAAGGACAAGCUUACUGUCCUAAAAUAAGCACAGAUC
rnacentral:lncRNA from 1 species